CAGAGAGUACUGCAAACCUUUCUGGAACUAAUUUCGUACUGUAGGCCGUGGAUCCCUGAUGCAUCCGUUCUGAUGCAGCCACUGUAUGACUGCAUACCCCGUGUUGCUACUGUUCCUUUCCAAAUGACUGCAGAGGCCAUAGAAGCAUUCGAAUCUCUCAAACAAGCCAUUAUCACUGCCCCAGCUCUUGGCAUUCCUAACUAUAAACUUCCCUUCCGCCUUUAUGUCAUGGAACGUCAGGGUCAUGCUACAGGAGUUCUCACCCAGAGCCAUGGGGGUCGUAAUAGACCUCUAGGUUACUUUUCAAAACGUCUAGACCCUGUAGCCAGAGCCACCCCUUCCUGUGUCAGGGCCGUUCAUGCUGCUAGCUCACUUCUGAACGCCACCGCUGACAUUAUCCUAGGACACCCCCUCACCAUCAUGGCUCCUCAUGACAUCUCGGCUAUCCUUCAACAGACACAACCUAAACACUUCACUGCACAAUGCCACCUCAGGCUUCAGUGUAGUCUGCUUCUACCAGAUAAUGUCACCAUUCAGAGAUGCCACAUCCUCAACCCGGCUGCACUCCUUCCUCUCCCAAGGGGGGAGUAUACUGCAGAAAGAGAUUCUGUGGAUUUUAUUGAUUUACAAGCAGAAGAGGAUCUCCAGGAAGAGGAAUUAUGGACAGCUAUUGGCUCACCUAAUGAGGAACCAGAUCAUGAUUGCAUUACAAUGAUGGAAGCUGAAGUGGGAACAGCACCAUCAAUACAAGAUACUCCCUUGCAAAACCCACAUUGGACACUGUUUGUGGACAGGUCAAGGUAUGCCGAUGACAAAGGGAAAUUCCAUAGAGGCAUGGCAGUCACUAGUGAGUACAAAGUGCUGUGUGCAAGGCAAUUGCGCCCAGACCAGUCAGCACAAGAGACUGAACU